UACAGAGGGGGCAAGCGUUGUUCGGAAUUACUGGGCGUAAAGGGCGCGUAGGCGGCCUUAUAAGUCGAACGUGAAAUCCCCGGGCUCAACCCGGGAACUGCGUCCGAUACUGGAAGGCUUGAAUCCGGGAGAGGGAUGCGGAAUUCCAGGUGUAGCGGUGAAAUGCGUAGAUAUCUGGAGGAACACCGGUGGCGAAGGCGGCAUCCUGGACCGGUAUUGACGCUGAGGCGCGAAAGCCAGGGGAGCAAACGGG
rnacentral:rRNA from 1 species